rnacentral:rRNA from 1 species
GACGAACGCUGGCGGCGUGCUUAACACAUGCAAGUCGAACGGUGAAGGUGGAGCUUGCUCCGCCGGAUCAGUGGCGAACGGGUGAGUAACACGUGGGCAACCUGCCCCUCACUUCGGGAUAACUCCGGGAAACCGGGGCUAAUACCGAAUACGAACUCCUUGGGCAUCCCGGGAGGUGGAAAGUUUUUCGGUGAGGGAUGGGCCCGCGGCCUAUCAGGUUGUUGGUGAGGUAACGGCUCACCAAGGCGACGACGGGUAGCCGGCCUGAGAGGGCGACCGGCCACACUGGGACUGAGACACGGCCCAGACUCCUACGGGAGGCAGCAGUGGGGAAUAUUGCGCAAUGGGCGAAAGCCUGACGCAGCAACGCCGCGUGCGGGAUGAAGGCCUUCGGGUUGUAAACCGCUUUCAGCAGGGAAGAAGCCGCAAGGUGACGGUACCUGCAGAAGAAGCACCGGCUAACUACGUGCCAGCCGCCGCGGUAA